ensembl:lncRNA
AUGAUGAUAAGAUGUUUAAUGUUUAGAUACAUGAUGAUAAGAUGUUUCAUGAUAAGAUGUUUCAUGUUUAGAUACAUGAUAAGAUGUUUCAUGUUUAUAUACAUGAUGAUAAGAUGUUUCAUGUUUAGAUACAUGUAGUAUAUGAUAAGAUGUUUCAUGUUUAGAUACAUGUAGUAUAUGAUAAGAUGUUUCAUGUUUAGAUACAUGUAGUACAUGAUGAUAAGAUGUUUAAUGUUUAGAUACAAGUAGUAUAUGAUGAUAAGAUGUUUCAUUUUUAGAUACAUGUAGUAUAUGAUGAUUAGAUGUUUCAUUUUUAGAUACAGGUAGUAUAUGAUGAUAAGAUGAUUAAUGUUUAGAUACAUGAUGAUAAGAUGUUUAAUGUUUAGAUACAUGAUGAUAAGAUGUUUAAUGUUUAGAUACAUGUAGUAUAUGAUGAUAAGAUGUUUCAUGUUUAGAUACAUGAUGAUAAGAUGUUUCAUGUUUAGAUACAUGUAGUAUAUUAUAAGAUGUUUCAUGUUUAGAUACAUGUAGUAUAUGAUAAGAUGUUUCAUGUUUAUGAUUAUUAUGAUGUUUAUGUAUGAUGAUAAGAUGAUUCAUGUUUAGAUACAUAUAGUAUAUAUGAUGAUAAGAUGUUUCAUGUUUAGAUACAUGUAGUAUAUGAUAAGAUGUUUCAUGUUUAGAUACAUGUAGUGUAUGAUAAGAUGAUUCAUGUUUAGAUACAUGUAGUAUAUGAUGAUAAGAUGUUUCAUGUUUAGAUACAUGAUGAGAAGAUGUUUCAUGUUUAGAUACAUGUAGUAUAUGAUGAUAAGAUGUUUCAUGUUUAGAUACAUGUAGUAUAUGAUGAUUAGAUGUUUAAUGUUUAGAUACAUGAUGAUAAGUUGUUUCAUGAUAAGAUGUUUCAUGUUUAGAUACAUGAUGAUAAGAUGUUUAAUGUUUAGAUACAAGUAGUAUAUGAUGAUAAGAUGUUUCAUGUUUAGAUACAUGUAGUAUAUGAUGAUUAGAUGUUUAAUGUUUAGAUACAUGAUGAUAAGUUGUUUCAUGAUAAGAUGUUUCAUGUUUAGAUACAUGAUGAUAAGAUGUUUCAUGUUUAGAUACAUGUAGUAUAUGAUAAGAUGUUUCAUGUUUAGAUACAUGUAGUAUAUGAUGAUAAGAUGAUUCAUGUUUAGAUACAUGUAGUAUAUGAUGAUUAGAUGUUUCAUUUUUAGAUACAGGUAGUAUAUGAUGAUAAGAUGAUUAAUGUUUAGAUACAUGAUGAUAAGAUGUUUAAUGUUUAGAUACAUGAUGAUAAGAUGUUUCAUGUUUAGAUACAUGUAGUAUAUUAUAAGAUGUUUCAUGUUUAGAUACAUGUAGUGUAUGAUAAGAUGAUUCAUGUUUAGAUAUGAUGAUGAUGAUGAUAAGAUGUUUAAUGUUUAGAUACAUGAUGAUAAGAUGUUUAAUGUUUAGAUACAUGUAAUAGUAACAUAAUGUUUAGUAAACAUGAUGAUUAGAUGUUUCAUUUUUAGAUACAUGUAGUAUAUGAUGAUAAGAUGAUUCAUGUUUAGAUACAUGAUGAUAAGAUGUUUAAUGUUUAGAUACAUGAUGAUAAGAUGUUUAAUGUUUAGAUACAUGUAGUAUAUGAUGAUAAGAUGUUUCAUGUUUAGAUACAUGAUGAUAAGAUGUUUCAUGUUUAGAUACAUGUAGUAUAUGAUGAUAAGAUGUUUCAUGUUUAGAUACAUGUAGUAUAUUAUAAGAUGUUUCAUGUUUAGAUACAUGUAGUAUAUGAUAAGAUGUUUCAUGUUUAGAUACAUGUAGUAUAUGAUAAGAUGUUUCAUGUUUAGGUACAUGUAGUAUAUGAUAAGAUGUUUCAUGUUUAGAUACAGGUAGUAUAUGAUGAUAAGAUGAUUAAUGUUUAGAUACAUGAUGAUAAGAUGUUUAAUGUUUAGAUACAUGAUGAUAAGAUGUUUAAUGUUUAGAUACAUGUAGUAUAUGAUGAUAAGAUGUUUCAUGUUUAGAUACAUGUAGUAUAUGAUAAGCUGUUUCAUGUUUAGAUACAUGUAGUAUAUUAUAAGAUGUUUCAUGUUUAGAUACAUGUAGUGUAUGAUAAGAUGAUUCAUGUUUAGAUAUGAUGAUGAUAAGAUGUUUAAUGUUUAGAUACAUGAUGAUAAGAUGUUUAAUGUUUAGAUACAUGUAGUAGUAACAUAAUGUUUAGUAAACAUGAUGAUUAGAUGUUUCAUUUUUAGAUACAUGUAGUAUAUGAUGAUAAGAUGAUUCAUGUUUAGAUACAUGAUGAUAAGAUGUUUAAUGUUUAGAUACAUGAUAAGAUGUUUCAUGAUAAGAUGUUUCAUGUUCAUAUACAUGAUGAUAAGAUGUUUCAUGUUUAGAUACAUGU